rnacentral:rRNA from 1 species
UACGUAGGUGGCAAGCGUUGUCCGGAUUUAUUGGGUUUAAAGGGUGCGUAGGCGGCUUUGUAAGUCAGUGGUGAAAUAUGGCAGCUCAACUGUCAGGGUGCCAUUGAUACUGCAGAGCUUGAGUACAGAUGAGGUAGGCGGAAUUGACGGUGUAGCGGUGAAAUGCUUAGAUAUCGUCAAGAACACCGAUAGCGAAGGCGGGUCUCUGGACAGUUCCUGACGCUGAGGCACGAAGGUCAGGGGGAGCAAACGGG